rnacentral:lncRNA from 1 species
UAUCACAUUAAUGCUAGGGACUUGAAUCAAAAUUUGAGAACUAAUAAGGUGUUAGUCAAUGAACAGUAAAAACUAGGGACCGGACAUAUAUAUAUAUAUAUAUAUAGACCCUUAUGCAAAGUGAUCCCCAAAAAAUGGGGAUUAGGUGUGGCGUCUACUCUAUAUUCAACUUCAACGAUCUGAACCGUCUAUCUUGCAAGUCUUGAUUCAUAGAUUAUCAUUACAAAAAUUCAAUUCAAUCCGAAACCAUUUACCUAUUUAAUUAUCAAGAUAAAAUUUCAUUAUUUCUUAUACAACAAAGUAUUCGUUAAUUUUUUUGAAUCCAAUUAGAUGUCUUAAAUAUUUCUGAUUUGGCUACUAUUUUGCAAGGAUGAUCAAUGAGGUGCAACUUGAAAAAUAGACAGUUCGGAUCAUUACAUUUCAAUGUGGUGUGGAUCCCACAACAAAUCCCUAAUUUUAUAAAAAAAUGAAAACCCCUUCCCUUAUAUAUAUAUAUAUAUAUAUAUAUAUAUUGAACCGAUUAUGACAAGGGUGGAUCUACGUUAGUGCAAUUUUUUUGCAGGUCUUGCGCUGCUAUAUACACCUUUCCAGGUAAACUGCAAGUAACAAUUUUGUUGUGGGGUUCCUUGCGUUCAUUAUUUAACUCUAUACGGCAGUCAUUAUUUUGUUGCUGGCAUGCAUUAGUUUGAACUAAAGUUUUAACACGAAUUUUUUUGUGUGGUGGUUCUGAACAUUAACAUUUAAGCAGUAGUUUGAUACAUAAAACUUUAUGUCUCUCGUUGUCCUCCUUUUAAAUGCCUGAUUUUUAUUUGAUUGGUGACUACAAUCAUUUACUUAGCUAUAUGACUAUUGUCAUUACUAAUGAAUUUUUGCAAGUUAAUUUCACAAUACCAUUUAAAUUGUGGGGAUGGAGAGCCCUUGUACGGAAAAGUUCAUGCAUGUGAUAACAUACUUGAAAAUCUGGGGUAUAGCUAAGAAAAUACCAAGACAACUACAAUAUGUAGUUGUUGUGAAUUCAUACCUGAUGAAACACGUAAUUGGAGUACCUUCAAAAGUCUUAGAGAGAUACUUUUUGUACAAAAUAAAUGAGAGGUACUCUUUGUUAUUGGAUAGUGUAUGGUGAGUUUUACGUUUCAUGUAUGAUGAUAAUAUUUAUCUUCACUAUGAUACUUACCUUGACAUAUUGAGAUGCGAUGUCUAGAGCUAUCCUAAUUAGACAUGAACGUCCACUAUGAAAUACCAAUUGGUAGUAUUAAAGAGGACUAACAUUGGAUGGCAAAUGUUCUUAAAAUCCUAUAUAUGUAAGAGACUAGUUCUUACUAUAUUUGUUAUCGAGGUAUCCCACUAUUUGUGGAAGAUACCAGUUUAUCUGUGUUUGUAUGUGGCGCUAACCUAGCUAUUAGAGCUUGAGCUGAAUAUAACUUUAUCUUGCAUAUAUGCAUCCAUAUAAUAUUUUGAAGUCAGAAAUGGAUCUAGCUAAUCCUCUGACAAAUCCACUAAGCUAAGUGCUAGUGAUGAUUAUGACAUCGAUGGGGAUAAGACUUAUGCGUAUAACAUCAAUCAAGAGUGAUGGUAACCCAACCUAUAUGAAUGGGGAUCACAGGAAAUAGGUUCAUAUGGGUAAGAACAUAUCACUUGUUGGUCGGCCAUGCACUAGCAAUUUAUAUCGAAUAUUAUUAUUGUUGAGAGUCUAUCCUUAUGGUAUAGAUAUGCAACUACUGUAGUGACCAAUGUUGAACUUAUUUUCUUAAUAUCAUAGCUUAUAUAUGGCUAGUGUGCUUGACUUGCAGUGCACACUUGAUGGAUUCAUCCAUAUGAGUGUGGGAAUGGGGAUGCUUCCUAUGAGAGCUUAGGCAAGUUAUUUAGAGUGCUCAUGAAAACCAGGUGGGCGCAUGGCCUAUUUGCGUCAACCGGCUCAUACAAGCUCGAUUAUGAGGAUUCAAUGUGGGUGACUAGUCCUAUGAUUCACGCAAAUAAAUCUUGGUUCAUAGAAAAUUUAAUCUUCACCAAAUUUAUGUGAGUUACCGCUAGCUCGUCCUAAGGCUAAUUCAUAGUCCUUGAGUUUGUUGUAUUUUGAAAUAUGUGGGGAAUUAGAAUAUUUAAGGGUAUUUCAAAAUACAAGUGUUUAAUAUCAUAUAAUUCAUAUAGAUAUUUUCCUCUUCUUGAUUGCUAUCCAAAUGGUAUUUAUAUUGACUCAUUAUUAUCAAAUUCAAGGUAUUUGAAGGUCUUUAAUUCCUAUUGGACGGUUUCCAUUCCAACGCUCAUAUUGCUUCCGUUAAUAUCACUUCGUAACGUUAUUCUUUAGUAUUGAAUUUAAGGGUAUUCACUUCCUAAUGUUUUUAACCCUAUAUAUAUGCUUGUUAGUCAAUAUUGUCAAAAAUGAAGAUGACAAUCAUCUCCUCUUCUUUCUUCUUCUAUCCUUUUGAUCCAUCAUUCUGGAAAGUUUUAUUAUAUUCUUCAUCUUCACUCCCUCAUAUCAAAGGAAAAAAUUGAGUUGUUCACCCGAUCCAAGUAUUACGAGUGUACUCUUACGAGGAUUAUAGGUUUGUUGUAUUUUAGAGGGUAGGACGCUAUAACCUGCUACACCAAUACAUUGUCUUAGAGAGGGGAAUUCUAGUCUUAAGGACAGUGAACUUAAUGCCUCAACCUAAAAUCUUGUUAUAAUCAAGGAUUAACAAAGAGCGCUAUCUACCUACAAAAGAUAAGUAUUUUAUUCUUAUUUUGUUAUUUUAUUUAAUAAAUUGUGACAAUACAAUUAUCAUAUACUAAUAUUAAUUAUAUGUGAUUUGUUGUAGGAGAAGCAGCAUGCACAUUGCCAUAUUUUCAACAAGCUCCAACCAUAAUUGGCAGAAUCUCGAAUGCACAUCCCAAGAAAAAUUAUCAUAUACUAAUAUUAAUUUUAUGUGAUUUCUUGUAAUAAAAUGAUUACAUAGUUAUAUUCUUAGCUUGUACUACGUUCAUGGCCGUUAGACACAGCUUGCACGUGUAUGAGUACUUCCAGCUUGUCUACAUCGUGGGCAUGUCAUUUCAGCUUGUCAUUGCCUAGAGAUUACUCGGCAACGACGUGAUUAUAUUUUCAGCUUCCACUAGCUUCGGUUAGUGGAUGAUCACACACACACACAAACAUAUUAGCUUACACGUGUGUUGGGGUACCACAAUUAUAUUCAUAGCUUGUCAUUACCUCGAGAUUAUUCGAUAAUGACAUGAUUACAGUUAUAUUCUCAGCUUGUCAUUACCUCGAGAUUACUUGGUAAUGACAUGGUUACAGUAAUAUUCUCAGCUUGUCAUUGCCUAGAGAUUACUCGGCAAUGACAUUACCUAGCGAUUACUUGGUAAUGACACGGUUACAGUAAUAUUCUCAGCUUGUCAUUGCCUAGAGAUUACUCGGCAAUGAAUGAUAACAAUUGUAUUCUUAGCUUGUCAUUGCCUAGAGAUUACUCGGCAAUGACAUGAUUAUGUUAUCCAGCUUCCAGUAGCUACGGUAAGUGGAUGAUAUUGUAUGCUAUACCACCAGUAACUAUUGGCUUAGUAUAUAGGUGUCUAUCAGCUUUCAAUGCAAACAAGAUUCAGUAGACGUAGCAAUGGUCCUAUUCGACAUUGAGGCCUCUUCCCAAAGCUCUGACACGUUCUUACUAGGUAUGUUAUCUACUCAGCAUUAUUAGUAAAACUCGUAUUUUAGGCAACUAUGCUCUGAACUAUUAUUAAGCACGUAACUGAGGGUCGGAGACCCUAUUGCCCUUUGGGAUGUUUUGAUAUAAAUAUGAUUACCUGCAAGUGUUUUAAUUUGGGCUUAUCCCUAUUUUAGGGGAAGUUUUAUCGAAUUUUCGGUACAUUAUAUUAGUCCAUAAUUUUAGUUAUGAUUUCAUGCAUAUCAUGGCUUUGUCACCCAUCUAGGUGAUGACCAGCACACCUCGAUUUUGGUGCCUAUUGAAAUUCUGGUCGAGUUGUGUCAAGUUACAAUACUAGUUUUGCUUCACAACAUCCUAAAAGCCACGAUGCUGUAAGGACAUAGCUUCAAAUUUAAAAGAGCUUUUUCUUAUUUUAUUUUGGUAGAGGGUGAAUUUCACGGGAAGAGAUCCCCUCCAGAUCUCUCCCACCAAAGCCCACCGAUUAAUUAAUCCAGGCCCUUAAAAUUUGAUUCAACGGCUACAAACAGGAGCCCUCCUUAAAAGUUAUAACAAAUUUAACCGUUGGAUCAAAUUUCAAGGAUCCGGAUUAAUUGAUUGGUGAGAUUUGGUGGG